CUUAUCCCCUCCCUCUCCUCUGUCCACGGCGACACGGGUCGACGCGGCAGCGUGGUGCCGGAGACAGGGGAUCGUGGAUCCGGCGGCGGCGUCGUGCCGGAGACAGGGGAUCUUGGAUCCGGCGAGCUGACGGAGCCGAGCGGCUUAGGAUCUGCAGACGCGGCGAGGGAGGAGCAGGACAUCGCCUAUUGUGGGAGCGCGUCACCCCCAUGGUGAGGGAGACUGACAGCUCGCGCGACCCUCACGUAGCAGGAAGCGCCGCUGCGACGGGAGGAGGUAAGCGGUUCAGCGCGGAAGAGCUCGCGCGACUGCGGCAUGUGAGAGGCGAGUCCCCGUGGUGAGGGAGUUAACUGGUUCGGCAUCGGCAACCUGCAAGACUGCAAGUCGCAAGAUGUGCGUGUAAGUAAUUUGCCCCGUCCAACCAAUGGCAUGGGAUAACAAUCUAAUCACCACAGUCACUAAGAUGGGAGUUGAAGGCGCAUGGUGUGUUUGACAAGGUACAAGCGAGUAGACCUUUUUUGCUCCCUAUCUUUUGUUUUUUAAUGCAGCUCCCAUUUUUUUACUUGCACUUGUUUGUUCUGGUAGUUGCACAACUAGGAAUAUCAGUCUGGCACAGCAACCCAUGCUAGUUGCACAGAUGCACCUUUUUUCUCAAUCUCAAAGGUAGUGGAAGAGGGAACAAACAAACAAAUCAACAUGAGUUUGAAACCAACAAAUCAAAUUUUGGUGGCACUAUUUUUAUCAAACUAAACAUCGAAGUAGAUUCUCUCAGUUGCACACAUGGGUCUAAUCAGUUGCACAGAUGCACCUACAAGUUGCACAAAUAACACACAUGAUGGGCACUGUUUUUUGCUGUUAUAUUGCAUUUUUUCUAUUUUCAAGCUUUUCACACAAGGUCUAUUCCAGCUGCACACAAUAGACACAAAUCCGAAAGUACUUUUAUUCAAGUCAAAGCAUCCAAAUUACUUUUGUCAGUUGCACAAUUCUUUUUUAAGUUGCAUAGAAAGAAGCCAUAAGUUGCACACCACAAACCUAUCUAGUUUCAAUAUGUUGUCAGGUUUGAUGCCACAUAGUGUUUUUUCUGUUUUUCCAUAGUUUCACACAGGGGAUUCUUCCAAAUUUGGCCAAGAUGACAUACAACAUGGGGUCCCAUGUCUUCUCAUGAAGUUUUUUUUCAUGCAUCAACAAUCUUACAAGCAGUAACACAUCUUCUUUUUGUUUUGUUUUUGUCUACCAACCAGGAGCUGGAUGAACUAAAACAUUACUGCAUUAUAGAUAUGACUAGUAGACUAUAUGCAAUAAACCAGAACAUAUGACCUAUAUAUGUUACAUUUUCGGUACAACAUGAUGUUCAUUUAUUUCAUUUGUCUGUGUGUGAGUUGCACAGUUUGAAACAAAGUUGGUUGGAUUACCCGAUCGAAAUAGUUGGUCGCAACCAAAUCAAAAGUUCCACAAUAUGCAAUUCCAUAUUUGUGUGUUCCUGGGGUUUUAUGUUUGUUUUUGCACAAGUUUAGGUGAACUUUUUUUGGAGCAGUUCUGUAGUUGCAGUCAAUAUGAAGAAGGAUUGGAGAAGUUGAAUUCAAGGUGAAGAAGAAGAGGAACAUGCCACCUUGAUUCCUCCUUUUUUCAAGUUGAAGAUCUACAGCAGCCUGAUCUUCCCUGACGGCUCCUGACAUAGGGAAGGCUCCCAUGGCGUGUUUCUGGUUGCUUCUUUUGUGGGGAAGAAGAUGGUGAGUGAGGCAGCAGUAGAUGGGUUGGUGUGCACUGCUUGAUUGGUGAAACCAGGAAGGUGGAAGAGAAAUGGAGGGGGGCAGAAUCACGGGGGUUCAGGGCUGGAAUGGGACGCUAGGG